rnacentral:rRNA from 1 species
UACGUAGGGUGCAGGCGUUAAUCGGAAUUACUGGGCGUAAGGCGUGCGCAGGCGGUUUGCUAAGACAGGUGUGAAAUCCCCGGGCUUAACCUGGGAACUGCGCUUGUAUCUGGCAAGCUGGAGUGUGGCAGAGGGGGGUGGAAUUCCACGUGUAGCAGUGAAAUGCGUAGAGAUGUGGAGGAACACCGAUGGCGAAGGCAGCCCCCUGGGCUAACACUGACGCUCAUGCACGAAAGCGUGGGGAGCAAACAGG